GAAAUGCGAUAAGUAAUGUGAAUUGCAGAAUUCAGUGAAUCAUCGAAUCUUUGAACGCACCUUGCGCUCCUUGGUAUUCCUUGGAGCAUGCCUGUUUGAGUAUCAUGAAAUCUUCAAAGUAAAUCUUUUGUUAACUCAAUUGGUUUCUACUUUGGUAUUGGAGGUCUUUGCAGCUUCACACCUGCUCCUCUUUGUUCAUUAGCUGGAUCUCAGUGUUAUGCUUGGUUCCACUCGGCGUGAUAAGUUAUCUAUCGCUGAGGACACAGUAAAAGGUGGCCAAGGUAAAUGCAGAUGAACCGCUUCUAAUAGUCCAUUGACUUGGACAAUACUUUUAUGAUCUGAUCUCAAAUCAGGUAGGACUACCCGCUGAACUCAAGC
rnacentral:misc_RNA from 1 species